CUUGGUCUUGUAAACCAAAAAUGGAGGUCACAACUCUCCCUAAGACU
rnacentral:tRNA from 1 species